GACGAACGCUGGCGGCGUGCUUAACACAUGCAAGUCGAACGGAAAGGCCCUGCUUUUGUGGGGUGCUCGAGUGGCGAACGGGGGAGUAACACGAGAGUAACCUGCCCUUGACUUUGGGAUAACUUCAGGAAACUGGGGCUAAUACCGGAUAGGAGCUCCUGCUGCAUGGUGGGGGUUGGAAAGUCUCGGCGGUUGGGGAUGGACUCGCGGCUUAUCAGCUUGUUGGUGGGGUAGUGGCUUACCAAGGCUUUGACGGGUAGCCGGCCUGAGAGGGUGACCGGCCACAUUGGGACUGAGAUACGGCCCAGACUCCUACGGGAGGCAGCAGUGGGGAAUAUUGCACAAUGGGCGGAAGCCUGAUGCAGCAACGCCGCGUGCGGGAUGACGGCCUUCGGGUUGUAAACCGCUUUCGCCUGUGACGAAGCGUGAGUGACGGUAAUGGGUAAAGAAGCACCGGCUAACUACGUG
rnacentral:rRNA from 1 species